GGUUGACGAGGAGGCGUGGAGGAGAUGUGAGAUCCAUCGGAGUUGUCCAUCUGCACAUAUCAAGAAGGAUUUUGAUAGGGUUUAUGGUGGUGGAUGGCAAUGUGUUGUGGGCUCAAAUUUUAGUAGCUUUUUCACUCAUUCAGAAGGGUCUUUUAUAUAUUUCUCAUUGGAGACACUCAAUUUCCUAAUCUUUAAAGGUGCUGCAUAUUGAUUUUUUAAUCAUGAACUAUGGUUUUUUUGUACCUUUUCAAGAUCUUGAAUAGAUUGUCCAAAUCCAUUAAUAAAAUUUUACUUUUGUAAUC